GACAGAGGGUGCAAACGUUGCUCGGAAUUACUGGGCGUAAAGCGCGUGUAGGCGGGCCGGAAAGUCGGGCGUGAAAAUCCCUGGGCUCAACCCAGGAACUGCACUCGAAACUUCCAGUCUAGAGUGGUGGAGAAGGGAAGUGGAAUUCCUGGUGUAGAGGUGAAAUUCGUAGAUAUCAGGAGGAACACCAGUGGCGAAGGCGGCUUCCUGGACACCAACUGACGCUGAGACGCGGAAAGCGUGGGGGAGCAAAACAAGG
rnacentral:rRNA from 1 species